GGCAGAGAGAAGAAAACCCUCCUGGAGCCUGGAUUUAAGGUGGGGAGAAGACAGGGAGGAGACUGCAGUGUGUGCCAAGUGUCCUGGGAAAAGAACUCAUGUUUUUUGUGGCCCUGCUAAGGCAUGGUGCAAGACACCUUCAUCGAUGCAGCAGGGGCUCCCCAAGCACCUUCUGCACACCUAGCGCUGAUCUGGGGGCAGGGACACAGCCAGACUGUCUGCCCCAAAUCUGGGUUAGUCCAAAGUUGGAGCAGACAGACAAGGUCCCUGCCCCCAGGGAGGAGGAAAGGUAAGAUGAAUGAAAGCAAACAAUAAGGAAGAAUCUCAGCGAUGACUGCUAUGAGAAAGUGGAGCCAGGCAAGGAGACUGAGGCUUAGAGAGAGAAAGUGCUUUGCGCAAGGCCCAGGGCAGUGGGAGGAUUGGAGCCAGCACUCUAAGGACUGCAGUCCUUUCUGCGUUCUAAUCUUUGUGCCUUGGAUCCAGACCAAAUGAUCGGGUAAUUGACACGUCACUUCUUCCCAGGCCCAGUGAAGGGGGAAAGUUGGUGUGACGUUUUCCAGAUCCUCCGCAGGAAUGGCCCACAAGACCCAGAGCCUGGCAAACUGCAUGGGCAGUGCCCAAAAUUGCCACCCCAGGAGCAGAGGCCACUGAUGUGCAGCAGUUCAAAUGUUGCCCUAGAAGGUGCUUCUCCAGGACUUCCCCUGCGAGCCUGUGUGGCAGGAAGCAAGACAGGAUAAGGGCAGGUGUCUGUCUGCCUGAGCAGCAUAAACCGGGGAACCUUCCGCCGUGCACAGACCUGUCUACUGGAGGGCUCCUGGCUCAAAGACGGACUGGCCAGGAUCCCAGGGGAUCCCCCAGCACCUAGUCUCUGUGGUCUGAGAGGUACAGGAAUAUUUGGGAGUGGUGAGUUCCCCCUCCCUGGAGGUGACCAAGCCCAAGCUGAAGGGGAACCCUGCAUAGUUAAUGGCCACCCUCAGCCCUCCAGCCCCUUUUAUGGGGUUAGUCCAGAGUUGGAAGCAUGUGAGCCCACAGGGCAUGGAAAUGUGCAGAGGGCUCUGCAGACCUGUGGAUUCACACUGACGAUUAGGUGAUGGGACCCUGGGGAAGUGCUGGGAUCCACGGCCAGAGAUCUCCUGACCAGUUUCUGAUAACUUAUUUAUCCAAGGACAGCAUGUCCUGUUACAACAUAAUUCCACAAAAAAAAAAAAAACCUUUUAACAUUCCUUAUGCUAAUGAAGAAAACCUAAUGUAUAGAUAAUAAUUUAUUUAUUCAGAAACAUUGUAUCACUAUUUUAAGUUGAAUUACCACAAGAACAGUUUAACACCUAAGUGGCAUCCGUGGACCAGCAGCAUGGACAUCACCUGGGAGCUUGCAGAAAGAUUCUCAAGUCCUACUCUGGACCUUGAAUCAGAAUUUGUGCCUUAGCAAGAUCUUCAGGUAAUUUAUAUGUACACGGAAAAGAAUCAAAAGGAGGUAUAAUCAUGACUCUCAUACAGAUAUAGAAUGAGCCUGGAUCAAAAGUUUUAUUUCACUCAUUCAUUAAUGAGGAAACCACUAAGAUGUUACAAUCAAUUCAAAGGAGAAUGCAAAAGUAGACACAUAAUAUAGGUCAUCAGGAAUCUGAAGUGAAUUUACAAACAGAUGCAAAACUGGCAAAAAAAAAAAAUCUAUAGGGCAAUAAUCAGUUGCAUUGCAUUGGACAUAAUUUAUAUUUAUAUGGACAAGAAUCAUUUGCAUUACCAUCA
rnacentral:lncRNA from 10 species